rnacentral:rRNA from 1 species
UACGUAGGUGGCAAGCGUUGUCCGGAUUUACUGGGUGUAAAGGGCGUGCAGCCGGAGAGACAAGUCAGAUGUGAAAUCCACGGGCUCAACCCGUGAACUGCAUUUGAAACUGUUUCCCUUGAGUGUCGGAGAGGUAAUCGGAAUUCCUUGUGUAGCGGUGAAAAGCGUAGAUAUAAGGAAGAACACCAGUGGCGAAGGCGGAUUACUGGACGAUAACUGACGGUGAGGCGCGAAAGCGUGGGGAGCAAACAGG